rnacentral:misc_RNA from 1 species
GAUGAAGAACGUAGCGAAAUGCGAUACUUGGUGUGAAUUGCAGAAUCCCGUGAACCAUCGAGUCUUUGAACGCAAGUUGCGCCCGAAGCCAUUAGGCCGAGGGCACGCCUGCCUGGGCGUCACACGUCGUUGCCCCCCCAUCUACUCCUUCGGGAUUGCGGGGGGCGGAUGAUGGCCUCCCGUGCGCCUCGUCGCGCGGUUGGCAUAAAUGCCAAGUCCUCGGCGACGCACGCCACGACAAUCGGAGGUUGCGAAACCUCGGUUGCCCGUCGUGUGCGGUCGUCGCGCAUCGAGGGCUCGAAAAAAUUGCCGGGCUCCGGCUCGGCUUUCAACGCGACCCCAGGUCAGGCGGGGUUACCCGCUGAAUUUAAGCAUAUCAAUAAGCGGAGGA